AAGUCGUAACAAGGUUUCCGUAGGUGAACCUGCGGAAGGAUCAUUACUGAACUGUCGACAUGAGUUGUUGCUGGUCCUCAAAUGGGGGCAUGUGCACACUCUGUUCACACAUCCACUCACACCUGUGCACCUCCUGUAGUUCUAUGGCCUGGGGGACCCCUGUCCUCCUUCUGUAGUUCUAUGUCUUUUACACACACACCACAAUACAGUCUUAUGGAAUGUAUGCUGCGUUUAACGCAAUAUAAUACAACUUUCAGCAACGGAUCUCUUGGCUCUCGCAUCGAUGAAGAACGCAGCGAAAUGCGAUAAGUAAUGUGAAUUGCAGAAUUCAGUGAAUCAUCGAAUCUUUGAACGCACCUUGCGCCCCUUGGUUAUUCCGAAGGGCAUGCCUGUUUGAGUAUCAUGAACACCUCAACUCUUGUGGUUUCCCCCACAAUGAGCUUGGACUGUGGAGGUUUUGUUGGCCUGUGGUCAGCUCCUCUCAAAUGGAUCAGCUUACCAGUGUUUGGUGGCAUCAUGGGUGUGAUAACUAUUUACACUUGUGGUCAUCUCCAAAUAACCUUCAGUGAUGGAGGUUCGCUGGAGCUUAUAAGUGUCUCUCCUCAGUGAAGACAGCCUUUGAACGUUUGAUCUCAAAUCAGGUAGGACUACCCGCUGAACUUAA
rnacentral:rRNA from 1 species